GUGCCAGCAGCCGCGGUAAUACGGAGGUCUCAAGCGUUGUUCGGAAUCACUGGGCGUAAAGCGUGCGUAGGCUGUUUCGUAAGUCGUGUGUGAAAGGCGCGGGCUCAACCCGCGGACGGCACAUGAUACUGCGAGACUAGAGUAAUGGAGGGGGAACCGGAAUUCUCGGUGUAGCAGUGAAAUGCGUAGAUAUCGAGAGGAACACUCGUGGCGAAGGCGGGUUCCUGGACAUUAACUGACGCUGAGGC
rnacentral:rRNA from 1 species